GGCAGCAGGAAUUGAUUCAGAAACCACUCUAACUGCUUUAUCAGCAAACAAUCUCUUGCUCAGAGAGAGGGUGAGUGUGAGUGUGAGUUCAUCUGAUUCUGGAGCUGGAGGAACCCAGCCCUGGAGAACCUAGGUCCUGCAGGAUAGCUCCAUUGGGAGGGACUUGCAGAAGGGAAAAGUGGAACUCCAUAUGAACACAUAAGUGACACAAGUAGUAUAUUAAUAGAAUUACAGAACUCCCCCAGAAGAGUAACCCUAAUAAAUGAGCAUACCCCAAAGUAACGGCCACAUCUGGUAACAAUGCCAAGGAGAAUUGAACCACAUUUCAGCCACUAAUGAUUAUGUGUGUGAAAUGAUUUUCAAUGUGUAUUUUGGGUUUGGCUGUUGCUGGGUUUUUUAGGAAGUUUGGGAAAACCAGAGCACCAGAAAAGCCUGAUUUUUCACACCCUGCACAUUUACUGCCCCCUGCAGCUGCCUGAGCAGUAACAUUGUGACAUCAGAGAUAAUCAGUCACUUAGCACUCUCUCCCCUCCAGGUCAUUUGCACACUGGGAAAGUCACCAGUGCCCUGGCUGUCAUGGCAACAGCUGCCUUUGCUGAUUUCCCCUAACAUUAUUUCAGAGGAGCUUCAGUCAAAGCCGGGCUUGGAUCAGCUGCUACUCGGUUCCUUUGGGCUUGUACUGGGGUACUCUACACUGCUUUUCAAAGGGUUUUUAACAGAUGCAGCGGUGUCUGCCUACAGAAAACCUGAAACAGCAUCUGUGAGGUUUGAAUUUCCCUGUUCAUCUCAUCCAGUCGAGCAGCCCAGAAUUUGGAGCAACCUUUGCACAACCUCACCUCACCUGCUGGAGGUGCUGCACACAAUCAAAUCCACUUGCUUUAACUGGAUCCUAAGAAAGACUCAAGAGAAGACUGCACCCCUUCCGGGUCCCCCAGGCUGGCUGAUUAUUUAAAAAAGGUGAAUUUGAGGGCAUUUCCUUGGGUGAGUGUGUGCUUCUCAUUCAUUACACUUCUCUGUUACUGCAAAGAUUCUCAGUUGUGACCGCAAGAAUCAAAGAAAUGAAUCACUAUCAAUGCACAAAGCAGUCAUUUGCUGCUGCCACCUGUUAAGUACAGAAACAGCAGUUUAAUCCUAGUAAACUGCAAACAAACACCAAGAAUUUGCUUUUUUUCUUCAAACUCUUUGCAAACAUCAAUUAAAAAUCAUGU